rnacentral:sRNA from 1 species
ACAUAGCCCCGAUGGGAACGGCAUCCUUUUUUGUUUUUUUUAGAUUCCUGACUUUGUUCGGAAUGACAAAGCGCCUGAAAAACAAAAAAGAUAUAGUGGACAGCGGGUUGGAAU